rnacentral:lncRNA from 1 species
CUUCUUCUUCUUCUUCAAGAUACCACACCUCCCAAACCCUAAACCACCCAGAACAGCCACCCCCACCAGACGAACCCUCUGCUGCCUCUCCCGUCUCCCAGCCAUUUCCCGCAGACCAGUUCCCCCUUCGCCUGAACUUCAAGCGAAACAGCCCCUCUCAUCGUCCCCUCACACCAGCGACAUCGACACAACGAAACCAGUCCAAAUCCGUCACCUUCCCCAUCGUCUUCCUCUUCUCUACCAAAUGUGCCCGUCGUCAACCCCACAGAAAAAUGACCAGCUUUUCGUCGUCCCCGUCACUCGUCAAAACCAGCAGCCAUCUCCCAAACCACCUCGUCACGGCCAUGAACAACCAGCUCAUCGUCAAGCUCACCAAACGAUCCC